rnacentral:tRNA from 4 species
CGCAAUUUUCAACCGGUCAGGGCGAAUGCCUGCAGAACUACAUCGACUAUGAAUCGCCAGGUUGCGGGUUCGAAUCCCGCCGCUGCAACCA